rnacentral:rRNA from 1 species
AGUGAACGCUGGCGGUAGGCCUAACACAUGCAAGUCGAACGGCAGCACAGUAAGAGCUUGCUCUUACGGGUGGCGAGUGGCGGACGGGUGAGGAAUACAUCGGAAUCUACUUUUUCGUGGGGGAUAACGUAGGGAAACUUACGCUAAUACCGCAUACGACCUACGGGUGAAAGCAGGGGAUCUUCGGACCUUGCGCGAUUGAAUGAGCCGAUUUCGGAUUGGCUAGUUGGCGGGGUAAGGGCCCACCAAGGCGACGAUCCGUAGCUGGUCUGAGGGGAUGAUCAGCCACUCUGGACCUGAGACCCGGUCCAGCCUCCAAGGGGAGGCCGCGGUGGGGAAUGUUGGCAAAUGGGCGCAACCCUGAUCCAGCCAUCCCGCGUGGGUGAAGAGGGCCUUCGGGUUGUAAAGCCCUUUUGUUGGGAAAGAAAAGCAGCAGGUUAAUACCCCGCUGUUCGACCGGUACCCAAAGAAUAGGCACCGGCUACCUCCGU